GCCCUGGUGGUGAAAUUGGUAGACACGCCAUCUUGAGGGGGUGGUGCCGUAAGGCGUCGCGGUUCGAGUCCGCGUCAGGGCA
rnacentral:tRNA from 1 species